rnacentral:rRNA from 1 species
AGUCACUGACAUUAGAUACCCCUGUAGUCCAGGGUGUAAACGCUGCAGACUUGGUGUUGGGAACCCUUCGGGGGUGCUCAGUGCCGGAGAGAAGUUGUUAAGUCUGCUACUUGGGGAGUACGUCCGCAAGGAUGAAACUUAAAGGAAUUGGCGGGGGAGCACCUCAACACGUGGAGCCUGCGGUUUAAUUGGAUUCAACGCCGGACAUCUCACCAGAGGCGACAGCUGUAUGAUAGCCAAGUUGAUGACUUUGCUUGACUAGCUG